UACCCGCAGCUCGAGUGGUGGCCACUAUUAUUGAGCCUAAAGCGUCCGUAGCCGGUCUUGUAAAUCUCUGGGUAAAUCCUGCCGCUUAACGGUGGGAAUACUGUGAGAGACUGCAAGACUGGGGAUCGGGUGAAGCGAGAGGUACUCCUGGGGUAGGGGUAAAAUCCUGUAAUCCUGGGGGGACGACCGGGGGCGAAAGCGUCUCGCUAGAACGACUCCGACGGUGAGGGACGAAGGCUAGGGGAGCAAACCGGAUUAGAUACCCGGGUAGUCCUAGCUGUAAACGCUGCACACUUGGUGUUGCCCCUUCUUAGGGAAAGGGCAGUGCCGGAGCGAAGGUGUUAAGUGUGCCGCUUGGGGAGUAUGGUCGCAAGGCUGAAACUUAAAGGAAUUGGCGGGAGAGCACCGCAACGGGAGGAGCGUGCGGUUUAAUUGGAUUCAACGCCGGAAAACUCACUAGGGAAGACCAUGGUAUGAGGGUCAACUUGAAGAAUUUACUCGAUUACAUGGAGAAGUGGUGCAUGGCCGGCGUCAGCUCGUACCGUAAAGCGUUCACUUAAGUGUGAUAACGAGCGAGACCCCCAUCCACUUUUGCCAGUACUUUCGCGAGAGAGUACGCACUAUGUGGAGACUGCCAGUGUUAAACUGGAGGAAGGAGAGGUCAACGGCAGGUCAGUAUGCCCCGAAUUCCCUGGGCUACACGCGCGCUACAAAGGACGGAACAAUGGGCUGCAAUUCCCGAAAGGGAAAGCCAAUCCCGAAAUCCGUUCGUAGUUCAGACUGAGGACUGUAAUUCGUCCUCACGAAGCUGGAUUCCGUAGUAAUCGCGAUUCAACAAAUCGCGGUGAAUAUGCCCCUGCUCUU
rnacentral:rRNA from 1 species